rnacentral:rRNA from 1 species
UACGAAGGGUGCAAGCGUUAGUCGGAAUUACUGGGCGUAAAGCGUGCGUAGGUGGUUUCUUAAGUCCGUUGUGAAAGCCCUGGGCUCAACCUGGGAACUGCAGUGGAUACUGAGAGGCUAGAGUGUGUCAGAGGAUGGUGGAAUUCCCGGUGUAGCGGUGAAAUUCGUAGAUAUCGGGAGGAACACCAGUGGCGAAGGCGGCGACCUGGGCCAAUAUUGACGCUGAGGUGCGAAAGCGUGGGGAGCAAACAGG